rnacentral:rRNA from 1 species
CACGGGGGGAGCUAGCGUUGUUCGGAUUCAUUGGGCGUAAAGAGCUCGUAGGUGGCUUUGUAAGUCGGAGGUGAAAUCCCACGGCUCAACCGUGGACACGCCUUCGAUACUGUGAAGCUUGAGGCUGGGAGAGGGAAUCGGAAUUCCUGGUGUAGCGGUGAAAUGCGUAGAUAUCAGGAGGAACACCGGUGGCGAAGGCGGAUUCCUGGACCAGUUCUGACACUGAGGAGCGAAAGCUAGGGGAGCAAACAGG